AGUGAACGCUGGCGGCGUGCUUAACACAUGCAAGUCGAACGAGAACGGGCUAUAGCUUGCUAUAGUUGUCAGCUAAGUGGCGCACGGGUGAGUAAUGUAUAGGUAAUAUGCCUCUUACUAAGGGAUAACAAAUGGAAACGUUUGCUAAUACCUUAUACUCCUUAUUAACAUAAGUUAAUAAGGGAAAGAUUUAUUGGUAAGAGAUUAGCCUGUAUUGUAUCAGUUAGUUGGUGGGGUAAUGGCUUACCAAGACUAUGACACAUAACUGGUUUGAGAGGAUGAUCAGUCACACUGGAACUGAGACACGGUCCAGACUCCUACGGGAGGCAGCAGUGGGGAAUAUUGCACAAUGGACGAAAGUCUGAUGCAGCAACGCCGCGUGGAGRAUGACACAUUUCGGUGCGUAAACUCCUUUUAUAUAAGAAGAUAAUGACGGUAUUAUAUGAAUAAGCACCGGCUAACUCCGUGCCAGCAGCCGCGGUAAUACGGGGGGUGCAAGCG
rnacentral:rRNA from 1 species